ACUCCUACGGGAGGCAGCAGUAGGGAAUCUUCCGCAAUGGGCGAAAGCCUGACGGAGCAACGCCGCGUGAGUGAUGAAGGUCUUCGGAUCGUAAAACUCUGUUAUUAGGGAAGAACAUAUGUGUAAGUAACUGUGCACAUCUUGACGGUACCUAAUCAGAAAGCCACGGCUAACUACGUGCCAGCAGCCGCGGUAAUACGUAGGGGGCAAGCGUUAUCCGGAAUUAUUGGGGCGUAAAGCGCGCGUAGGCGGUUUUUAAGUCUGAUGUGAAAGCCCACGGCUCAACCGUGGAGGGUCAUUGGAAACUGGAAAACUUGAGUGCAGAAGAGGAAAGUGGAAUUCCAUGUGUAGCGGUGAAAUGCGCAGAGAUAUGGAGGAACACCAGUGGCGAAGGCGACUUUCUGGUCUGUAACUGACGCUGAUGUGCGAAAGCGUGGGGAGUCAAACAGGAUUAGAUACCCUGGUAGGAUAGCG
rnacentral:rRNA from 1 species